GAGUGGCAGUGGCAGCGGCAGCGGAAGUGGGUCUGUGGUAAGCAAAAGCAUGGCAUGCAGUAGGCUCUGGGUGAGGGAAGGAUUAAUAAGCAUAUAUUUAGGGUUUAGAUGAAAGAAAGAAAGAAAGAAAGAAAUAAAGUUGGGGGCAACAAAGGGUAAUCAUCAACUUGGGGUUGCAGCUGGGGGCCCAUGGAGGUUACGAUGAGAUGCGGGCAGGGCAGGGAACCUAUAUCCAAAGACAUCGUUGAAGGUUGCUUUGAAGCCAUCAACGAGGACCAAUUUGUCUGUGGCAAUUACGACCAAGGAACAAUAAGGGAUUAAUCAUACUGGCGUUUUAUAGUUCUAUGUCAUUUGGAACUGUUCUGAGUUUGUUCAAGUGAACUUACUUCGGGUUUAAAUAAAAAAUUGAGGAACUGACCCACCAAAAAUGAAUUCAAUUUCUGGACAGAGUAUUUCAUCAUAAAAGAGCGUUUGACACCUGAGAGGAAGAACAAUAAUGUAUUGGACAAACUUCAGUUUAAAACAAAAGCAUUGCAACUAUUAUACUGGUACAAACUCCGUCACCAAGUUCGUGUCUGGCACGGUCAUCCAUCCUAUUACCAUACUGCUCAGCUCUUAGAGCAUAAUAUCUAAACAAAUUGCUGUCAUGUCACCAAAAAGACAAAAAAAAAA